rfam:Loxodonta africana cont3.49868, whole genome shotgun sequence.
UUACAAAAGGAAAAUACAGGGAAAGGUAAAGUUCUCAUGGGCUUGGAGAAAAUCACCAGAAAUAGGCACAGUAUCAGAAAGCCCCUUGGUCCCAGGCUAAGCCCCCUU